UACGUAGGGGGCAAGCGUUGUCCGGAUUUACUGGGCGUAAAGAGCGUGUAGGCGGCCAAACAGGUCCGUUGUGAAAACUGGAGGCUCAACCUCCAGACGUCGACGGAAACCGUAUGGCUAGAGUCCGGAAGAGGAGAGUGGAAUUCCUGGUGUAGCGGUGAAAUGCGCAGAUAUCAGGAAGAACACCAAUGGCGAAAGCAGCUCGCUGGGACGGUACUGACACUGAGACGCGAAAGCGUGGGGAGCAAACAGG
rnacentral:rRNA from 1 species